AGAAUCAACGCUGGCGGCGUGCCUAACACAUGCAAGUCGAACGAGAAAGGGUAGCAAUACCUGAGUAAAGUGGCGCACGGGUGAGUAACACGUGACUAACCUACCCUGGAGUGGGGAAUAACUGAGGGAAACCUUAGCUAAUACCGCAUAAUACCUACGGGUCAAAGGAGCAAUUCGCUUCAGGAGGGGGUCGCGGCCGAUUAGCUAGUUGGCGGGGUAAUGGCCCACCAAGGCAGUGAUCGGUAUCCGGCCUGAGAGGGCGCACGGACACACUGGAACUGAAACACGGUCCAGACUCCUACGGGAGGCAGCAGUGGGGAAUUUGCGCAAUGGGGGAAACCCUGACGCAGCAACGCCGCGUGGAGGAUGAAAUCCCUUGGGAUGUAAACUCCUUUCGAUCGGGACGAUUAUGACGGUACCGGAAGAAGAAGCCCCGGCUAACUUCGCGCCAGCAGCCGC
rnacentral:rRNA from 1 species